CUGAGCGCCCGGGAGUUCUUGCCCCGUGGCAGGCUGGUAGCACAUUGCUCUCCUGCCGAUGCUGCUAUUCUCUGUCCCGUGCUAUGCCGUGUUAAGCCCCACUGUGAGGCGAGAGAGAGGUCUGGAGGAUGUGAUGACUUUAUAGGGGGAGAGGACAGAGCAGCAGAGGGACACAGCAGACAGAAACUGUUACAUGGCAGGGACGAAGAUAGUAUGGCCAAUACCAGGUGAAACGUCCAUGCUGCAUCUGCAUGACAACCAUGUGAUCCCAAUCAGUUUCAUGGGAAUGUGCAUUUUGAUCUUCUUGAAUGAUGACCUGAGCCCUAGGACCAUGCCUCAGGACUACCUGGCUUGAUGACUCCUUGCUGUCCCCAGUUCACCUGGCCGUGCUGCUGCUCCAGUUCCAACUGUUCUGCCUGCAGCUAUGGAACCCUGACCUGUUCACCGGACGUGCUACCUGUCCCAGACCUGUUGUCCCAGAACUGCUGGAACCCUGACCUAUUCACCGGACGUGCUACCUGUCCCAGACCUGCUGUUUUCAACUCUCUAGAGACAGCAGGAGCGGUAGAGAUACUCUCA
rnacentral:lncRNA from 1 species